UGGGGUCCCAGAGUCUGCUGGGAACGGGAGCUCUGAUAAGGGACGGGCCCUGCCAGACAUUGCAUCAGGCAGCAAAACUCCACUCCCCUCACUUGCUGGGCCCCAGAGCCACGGGGCGUCCUUCCUCCUCAAGACUGUUCACACUCCAGAGCUCCAGCUUCCUCUCCCAAGAACAAACCCCUGUAGGAUCCCCUUAGGGGCAUGGGCCCAACCUCAGCCAAGACAGACAGAGGAGAAGCAGCCACAGAAAUUCAGGCUCUGAGAGACCAAGGCAUACCCGUGGAUGAUGACAAAACUCCAACUACUACGUGGGUCUCCUGUGUCCCAGAGGGUCAUUCUCGCAGCAACACGGGAGCCCAGUGACUGCAGAAUGAAUCCAAAAUGCAAGCCUGAGAACAAAGCUGACCGAUACCCGUGUCACCCGUGUCAGAGGGGAGGCUAGCUCCCCGCUCCUGUCCUUGUAGACAGAAGACUUCACAGUCUCAUUUCUCCCCUUUCCAGCCAAAGGAAUUUCAGGUCUGGCCCACCAAAACCAGAACAGACACACCCUGCACGCCUGUGUUCCUUCCAGAGAGGUAAGAUACACCCCCGAAGGGCCACAUAAUCAGGGUCUGCACGGCCAAGGAGCUGGGUGCUUUCUGCCACUUCCUUGGAGAUCAACAUCUCCAUGAAACUCUGGGAAGUGAUUCACACUACUGAAAGAUGAAAACUCUCUGGGCACUUCCUGUCUGCGCCGCGCCAUUUGGCAGGCCUGGGUUCACACACCCUACCUCCUGUGACUCACUUCAUUUUGCAGCUGGAUUGUGGAGUGGCUAAAAGCAUAGGCACAGCUAGAGUUGGACAGCUGAAGAUUUGCAGUUUGGCUGUGUGACCUUGGACAAGUCAGCUACCCUCUCUAGGCCUCAGUGUUGGCA